rnacentral:misc_RNA from 1 species
AAUAAUUAAUAAUUAAGGUAGAUUGUAUCUUCGAAGUUGAUUAGUUUGUGAAGGGUGAAAAGUAACAGCGGCUUCAGUGCAAAAUCAAAGACAUUUCAAGUCGAUGUGUUGAUAAAAACGGCAAAUCAUGGAUGAAGGGAUCGCAAAUGCCAAAAUGUUGGUGAAGAACCUGGUGGCAGGAGUGGACGUCGCGGCUCUCCUCGUCAAGACGAAAUUCUACACGUCGCUCUGCCUGGGAACAACAGCCAUCCUCUCGGUCUUCGCAUUCCUGUUCCUCAUCCCCUUCGUAGUCGACCCGGCCAUCUCGACCAUACUCGCCGAUUACGAGCAGAACCCUGUGACGUGCAUCGCGGUCGAACACGUCUACGCGGAAGGGCUAAGCAACUGCUCCUGGUCUUCGUGUAGGGAAGGAUGCACCAACGCCGCCCUCAGGUGCCACCAGAUACUCGUCAACUACUCGAAAAUUCCCUUCGAAGAAUGGCAAAAGAGCGAAAUAGAUAUGAAGACUGUCCAGUGGGACGUGGGCGAGACGAGGUUCUUCAUAAACACCGAAGGCUGCGGGUAUCCGCCGAGGGUGAACUGCUCUGAAUUCGCGAAGCAGUACGGCUCAAAGAACCUCGGCACACCUUUUCCCUGCUACUACAGCAAGACCUACCCGAGCAUGGUGGUGGCGAGGUAUUCGUGGGACGACAACCUACGGCACCUCAUCCUAUCUCUGGUCAUCCCCAACGUCCUUUUCGCCAUAUCAAUCGGCGUCCUCAUCUACUGGUACUGCCCCGGCUGCAACCGUUCCAGGCAACCCAUCGACACCUCUUCGUACGUCGAGAGCUUCCACUCAAAACACGAGUAAGCUCCAACUGUUUACCAGUAGUCUUCGUAGAUUUUUAACAAAAGCGACAGCGGACGAAGACGAAGAGGAGUACGAGGACGAGGAAGAGUACUGACAGUGAUAGAACAACCUGAGGAAGGUACAUGCUCAACAGGCCAACCACCCCUCCACACCGAAGUCUAGCGAACUACCCCCAAUUUAUUAGCAACAUUUUUCUUCUUAAGCUCUUCCUCACUUCUCGAUGUCCGGUAAAAAAACAAAAACAACGAGGUUAUUUUCCAUCUCGAAUAUUAACCACAUAAAUACUAAUCGCAAUAAAAUAGAAUAUAAUAAAUCCUUAAGGAAAAGUAUAUAGGUUAGAGUGGGGCAGAUCGUAGAGUGGUAUAUCGCAAUUCUAUAGUAUAGAGGUUUCACUAAUCAUAUCAACUUUUAACGAGGAUAUUUUUAUGAUAUAGAAACAAGAGAACAGUACAAGGAUUUUAACUAGUGGUAAAAGAUUUGUUUUUGUCGGAAUAUCAACGUGCAAUGACAAUACGUCAGCACCUGUUUUCAAAUCUAAAAAAUAAUUCAAAAUUAGGAAUAAGCCACACUUAUUCUGUGUAGUUAAGUUGUUUUAAAAGUGUAUGUUCUUAUACACUUACGAAUAUGCUUAAUUUAAAAGUUUAUUUAAAACAGCAUAUUUUCAACAAAAAAAGGAACUUGAAUAUCGAGUAUAUAUUUUUUUCAGAUCCCUUAAGACUCAAGUUUGAAAAUACAUGUAACUGCUGCUGCAAAAUUUUAACAAUUUUCGUAAUACACAGUAGGAACAAAAAUUAACACUAAUGACAAACUUAACGUUAUAAUAGUGCAAGGGGAAUUUUAAAAGCAAAACACCUUUGGAAUUUUCACUCGAAAUGACCAUAACUAGUAGCCAACUGAUAAUUUUUAAAAUGAGUUUUAGAAAUUCACCCUAUAAAUUAUUAAUUGUGUAAAAAAACGAAAUUUAAUUAAAUUUACCUCGUGUUCAACAAUGUUGAUAUGCUCUUCACGUAGACAUCGCGUAUUUAAGAGUCUAAGGGACGAAAAUUGAAAGGAAAUAAAUACAAAAUCUUGUUCCUUUACAAAAUUCCUUAAGUGGCUGUCGAAAUGGCCAUUUUAGAGUCACCUAGCCAAAAAGGUUGCGAGUAGUAUACUCAACAAUUUUUGUUUUAAGUUAAAUUUUACAGUGCUCAAUUGAAUUGGCUUGUAGCAGUUAGUUGCAAUAAAAAUUGUUAAAUUCAAAUUGUGAUAGGAGUUUAUGCGACUCCUUUCGAUUUAGUAAUUGUUUAAAGAUAUAUUUGUACAGAAUAUUUUAAAAAAAUUGUUUAGCUUUAGAAUGCAAAUUAUUUUAGGUUUACAGAAAUUCGUUGAAUUUUGAACUCUGUUUUACCCCUUCAAAAGAGUUAUAUGUUUUAUACUGUGAGAAAAAAAAAAUUAAAUAAGAGAUCAUAAAAGCGCGACCAAAAUAUAUUUACAAAUACUGACAGAGUUUUAUUUUAUAAAAAUCUAUGUAUAUUUCAUGUUCAAUGUGAUUUCUAAAGCUUCUCCGGAAAGUGUGAAAUAUAUGUUUUUCGUUAUUUGUUAGUUGGAAAAAAUUGAAACAAGUGGUUGAGAACAAUGUCGAUAUUUAGAGGUUAAUUAGAUAAUACGGACAUUUUCAAUAGUAGGAAUAGAGUAGUAGAGUGCCAAAGGCAAAUCAAAAUUGCUAAUUGGGGCCUUUUAACUAAAAACCUUUAAAAUUAUAUAUAACCGUCUACGCCUUGAAAAGAGAAAAAACUAUGUACAGGUUGUGUUUUAAAGUUUAUAAAUAUCUAUUUGAAAUUUUAAAAGGAAAUGUUAUUUCUGUUCGACGUUCUUCCAGACCCGAUUGAAAUGACACGAAAUGCUUCAGCUUUAAAUCUGACUGUUGAUCUACUUUUGGAUAAACCAUUUUUGCCGCUAUAUUUUUCAUUCUCAGAUUUACAUAAUUAUAUUAAAUAAUAGGGAAAUCGUUUUAAUCUUUUAU